CUGGCUCAGGAUGAACGCUGGCGGCGUGCUUAAUACAUGCAAGUCGAACGAAGCACUUAUGACAGAUCCCCUCGGGGUGAAGACGUUUGUGACUGAGUGGCGGACGGGUGAGUAACGCGUGGGUAACCUGCCUUAUGCAGGGGGACAACAGUUGGAAACGACUGCUAAUACCGCAUAAGCGCACGGCACCGCAUGGUGCAGUGUGAAAAGAUUUAUCGGCAUAAGAUGGACCCGCGUCUGAUUAGGUAGUUGGUGAGGUAACGGCCCACCAAGCCGACGAUCAGUAGCCGACUUGAGAGAGUGAUCGGCCACAUUGGGACUGAGACACGGCCCAGACUCCUACGGGAGGCAGCAGUAGGGAAUAUUGCACAAUGGGGGAAACCCUGAUGCAGCCGACGCCGCGUGAGUGAUGAAGUAUUUCGGUACGUAAAGCUCUAUCAGCAGGGAAGAUAAUGACGGUACCUGACUAAGAAGCCCCGGCUAACUACGUGCCAGCAGCUGC
rnacentral:rRNA from 1 species